AUUGAACGCUGGCGGCAGGCCUAACACAUGCAAGUCGAACGAGUGGCGGACGGGUGAGUAAUGUCUGGGAAACUGCCUGAGGGAGGGGGAUAACUACUGGAAACGGUAGCUAAUACCGCAUACCAUCAGAUGUGCUCAGAUGGGAUUAGCUUGGUGGUGGGGUAACGGCUCCCCAAGGCGACGAUCACUAGCUGGUCUGAUAGGCUGACCAGCCAGACUGGGACUGAGACACGGUCCAGACUCCAACGGGAGGCAGCAGUGGGGAAUAGUGCACAAGGGGCGCAAUCCUGAUGCAGCCAUGCCGCGUGUAUGAAGAAGGCCUUCGGGUUGUAAAGUACUUUCAGCGGGGAGGCGUUACCCGCAGAAGAAGCACCGGCUAACUCCGUGCCAGCAGCCGCGGUAAUAC
rnacentral:rRNA from 1 species